UAAAAAAUUUGGCGGUAUUUUAGUCUAUUCAGAGGAACCUGUUUUGUAAUCGAUAAUCCACGAUGGACCUUACUUAAAUUUGUAUUCAGUUUAUAUACCGUCGUUAUUAGAAUAUUUUAUAAGAAAGUUAAUUUUCAAGAUUUUUAAAAAGAAAAUAUAUCAGAUCAAGGUGUAGCUUAUAUUUAAGUAUAAAUGGGUUACAAUAAAAUUAUUUAAAUGGAUAUAAAUUUGAAAUUUUUAUUGAAGGUGGAUUUGAUAGUAAAAUUAUAUAGAUAAAUAAUUUGAUUUUAGCUCUAAAAUAUGCACACAUCGCCCGUCACUCUUACUAUUAAGGUAAGAUAAGUCGUAACAUAGUAGAUGUACUGGAAAGUGUACCUAGAAUGCAAUUUAAAGCUUAUUCAGUAAAGCAUUUCAUUUACAUUGAAAAGAUUUUUGUGCAAAUCAAUAUAAAUUGAUUAGAUUUUAUUUAUUAAUUUUUUUUUUUAUUUUAUAAAUUAUUAAAAGUAAUUAUUUAAAAAAUUUGUUUAAGUAUUUUAUAAAGAAAAAAUAAUUUUAAUUAUAGUUUAAUAGUAUUG
rnacentral:rRNA from 1 species